rnacentral:rRNA from 1 species
UACGUAGGGUGCGAGCGUUAAUCGGAAUUACUGGGCGUAAAGCGAGCGCAGACGGUUAUUUAAGCAGGAUGUGAAAUCCCCGGGCUCAACCUGGGAACUGCGUUCUGAACUGGAUAGCUAGAGUGUGUCAGAGGGGGGUGGAAUUCCGCGUGUAGCAGUGAAAUGCGUAGAGAUGUGGAGGAAUACCGAUGGCGAAGGCAGCCCCCUGGGAUAACACUGACGUUCAUGCUCGAAAGCGUGGGUAGCAAAC